rnacentral:rRNA from 1 species
ACUAACGACGAUAUGCUUUGGGGAGCUGUAAGUAAGCUUUGAUCCAGAGAUUUCCGAAUGGGGAAACCCAGCAUGAGUUAUGUCAUGUUAUCGAUAUGUGAAUACAUAGCAUAUCAGAAGGCACACCCGGAGAACUGAAACAUCUUAGUACCCGGAGGAAGAGAAAGAAAAUUCGAUUCCCUUAGUAGUGGCGAGCGAAACGGGAAGAGCCCAAACCAACAAGCUUGCUUGUUGGGGUUGUAGGACACUCUAUACGGAGUUACAAAGGACGACAUUAGACGAAUCAUCUGGAAAGAUGAAUCAAAGAAGGUAAUAAUCCUGUAGUCGAAAAUGUUGUCUCUCUUGAGUGGAUCCUGAGUACGACGGAGCACGUGAAA